rnacentral:lncRNA from 1 species
AUGGUGCAGAUUAAUGGGCGCCGGCUGGAGAACCUGUCUCACUCCGAGGCUGUGGAGCUCUUCCGAACGGCGGGGGAGGACGUGCUGCUCCGGGUGCAACAGAGGCCUCCAGCGCCGGCGAAUGGCCCUGUGGUACCCAGACCUGAGGAGCCCCCCAUUCCCAUGUGGAUCGUCCUGACCAUCUCGGCAGCAGGAGUCGCAGUGGCUGCCUUCCUCUAUUUCCGAUCCAAUACGAGGAGGCACUUUUAA